GACGAACGCUGGCGGCGUGCUUAACACAUGCAAGUCGAACGGAAAGGCCUCAGCUUGCUGGGGUACUCGAGUGGCGAACGGGUGAGUAACACGUGGGUGAUCUGCCUUGCACUCUGGGAUAAGCUUGGGAAACUGGGUCUAAUACCGGAUAUGAACUGCCUUUAGUGUGGUGGUUGGAAAGUUUUUUCGGUGCAAGAUGAGCUCGCGGCCUAUCAGCUUGUUGGUGGGGUAAUGGCCUACCAAGGCGUCGACGGGUAGCCGGCCUGAGAGGGUGUACGGCCACAUUGGGACUGAGAUACGGCCCAGACUCCUACGGGAGGCAGCAGUGGGGAAUAUUGCACAAUGGGCGGAAGCCUGAUGCAGCGACGCCGCGUGGGGGAUGACGGCCUUCGGGUUGGAAACUCCUUUCGACAGGGACGAAGCUUUUUGUGACGGUACCUGUAGAAGAAGCACCGGCUAACUACGUG
rnacentral:rRNA from 1 species